ACUUGAAUAGCUUAUAAAGAGCGUAGUAUUGAAGAUACUAAGGAAAUGUGAUAUUUUUGAGUA
rnacentral:tRNA from 1 species